UGAAAGUUUUAUUCUUGCUUGAGUGUUGAUUUUUAUUUUGUUUUAUUAUGUAAGUUUUAGUGUGGGUUAGGUUAAAUUCUUAAAGGAUAAAUCUGUUUGGAUUAAAGAUAGCUUGACUGCAGUGGUUGAUAUUAUAAUUUAAAGGGAUUUAGAGUUAGCAAUGUAAUUAGUGUCGGCAAAAUUCGUGCCAGCUGCCGCGGUUAUACGAGGGGCAUAAAUCAACAUGGGUUGAUAGGUAGUUGAGUGUAGGGUAAAGGGAUUAUAAGUUGGGUUUUUAGGGUGAAAUCUAAGAAUACAGUUGAGUUCUAGAUCAGGUAGGCGGAGGCUAUGAAAUUAUUUAGAAGACUAGGAUUAGAUACCCUAUUAUUAUUAAUGUAAAGUGAAGAUGUCGGGGUAGUAGUAGUUAGGUUCUUGAAACUCAAAGAAUUUGGCGGUAUUUUAGUCUUUUCAGAGGAAUUUGUCCCGUGAUCGAUAUUCCACGUUUAUCUGACUUAGUUUUGUUAACAGUUUGUAUACCGCCGUCGUCAGAAUGUCCUAAAAGGGGAAAAAUUUUCUUGGAAUUUGAUUGAAUUGGAUGUCAGGUCAAGGUGCAGCUUAUGAUUAAGUGGAGAUGAAUUACAAUAAAUAGAUUUAUAAUGGAUAUAAAGUUGAAAGAGUUUAUUGAAAGUGGAUUUGAUGGUAAUGAUUAAUAUUAAGAAGUUGUGAUUAGGGCUCUAAAGUAUGCACACAUCGCCCGUCGCUCUCGGUUUAAGGCGAGAUAAGUCGUAACAUAGUAGAUGUACUGGAAAGUGUAUCUGGGAUGAA
rnacentral:ncRNA from 1 species